CAAGUGAACGGGAAAGUGGAGCAAUCCAUGAGUACAGUGGCGUACGGGUGAGUAACACGUGGGUAUCUAACUCUUAGUGGGGAAUAACGCUGGGAAACCGGCGCUAAUACCGCAUAAGCUCGAGAGAGGAAAGCAGCAAUGCGCUGAGAGAGGAGCCCGCGGCCGAUUAGCUAGUUGGCAGGGUAAAAGCCUACCAAGGCAGAGAUCGGUAGCCGGCCUGAGAGGGCACACGGCCACACUGGCACUGAAACACGGGCCAGACUCCUACGGGAGGCAGCAGUGGGGAAUCUUGCACAAUGGAGGAAACUCUGAUGCAGCGACGCCGCGUGAGCGAUGAAGCCCUUCGGGGUGUAAAGCUCUUUCGUCAGGGAAGAUAAUGACGGUACCUGGAGAAGCAGCUGCGGCUAACUACGUGCCAGCAGCCGCGGUAAUACGUAGGCAGCGAGCGUUGUUCGGAGUUACUGGGCGUAAAGGGUGUGUAGGCGGUUCUUUAAGUUUGGUGUGAAAUCUCCCGGCUCAACCGGGAGGGUGCGCCGAAUACUGAGGGACUAGAGUACGGGAGAGGAAAGUGGAAUUCCUGGUGUAGCGGUGAAAUGCGUAGAUAUCAGGAGGAACACCGGUGGUGUAGACGGCUUUCUGGACCGUAACUGACGCUGAGACACGAAAGCGUGGGUAGCAAACAGGAUUAGAUACCCUGGUAGUCCACGCCCUAAACGAUGCAUAUUUGGUGUGGGUCAUUCAGUUGAUCCGUGCCGGAGCUAACGCGUUAAUAUGCCGCCUGGGGAGUACAGUCGCAAGGCUGAAACUCAAAGAAUUGACGGGGGCCCGCACAAGCGGUGGAGCAUGUGGUU
rnacentral:rRNA from 1 species